CCUACGGGGUGCAGCAGUGAGGAAUAUUGGUCAAUGGACGAGAGUCUGAACCAGCCAAGUAGCGUGAAGGAUGACUGCCCUAUGGGUUGUAAACUUCUUUUAUAUGGGAAUAAAACGUUCCACGUGUGGGAUUUUGUAUGUACCAUAUGAAUAAGGCUCGGCUAACUCCGUGCCAGCAGCCGCGGUAAUACGGAGGAUCCGAGCGUUAUCCGGAUUUAUUGGGUUUAAAGGGAGCGUAGGUGGAUUGUUAAGUCAGUUGUGAAAGUUUGCGGCUCAACCGUAAAAUUGCAGUUGAAACUGGCAGUCUUGAGUACAGUAGAGGUGGGCGGAAUUCGUGGUGUAGCGGUGAAAUGCUUAGAUAUCACGAAGAACUCCGAUUGCGAAGGCAGUUCACUGGACUGCAACUGACACUGAGGCUCGAAAGUGUGGGUAUCAAACAGGAGUAGAUACCCCUGUAGUC
rnacentral:rRNA from 1 species